rnacentral:rRNA from 1 species
UACGUAGGGUGCAAGCGUGUCCGGAAUUAUUGGGCGUAAAGAGCUCGUAGGCGGUUUGUUGCGUCGGCUGUGAAAUCCCGAGGCUCAACCUCGGGUCUGCAGUCGAUACGAGCAAACUAGAGUGUUGCAGGGGAGACUGGAAUUCCUGGUGUAGCGGUGAAAUGCGCAGAUAUCAGGAGGAACACCGGUGGCGAAGGCGGGUCUCUGGGCAACAACUGACGUGGAGGAGCGAAAGCGUCGGGGAGCGAACAGG